rnacentral:rRNA from 1 species
GCUGGCGGCAGGCCUUAUACAUGCAAGUCGAGCGCAUCCUUCGGGAUGAGCGGCGGACGGGUGAGUAACGCGUGGGAAUGUGCCCUUCUCUACGGAAUAGCCACUGGAAACGGUGAGUAAUACCGUAUACGCCCUCAGGGGGAAAGAUUUAUCGGAGAAGGAUCAGCCCGCGUUAGAUUAGGUAGUUGGUGGGGUAAUGGCCUACCAAGCCUACGAUCUAUAGCUGGUUUUAGAGGAUGAUCAGCCACACUGGGACUGAGACACGGCCCAGACUCCUACGGGAGGCAGCAGUAGGGAAUCUUGGACAAUGGGGGCAACCCUGAUCCAGCCAUGCCGCGUGAGUGAAGAAGGCCCUAGGGUCGUAAAGCUCUUUCGCCUGUGAUGAUAAUGACAGUAGCAGGUAAAGAAACCCCGGCUAACUCCGUGCCAGCAGCCGCGGUAAUACGGAGGGGGUUAGCGUUGUUCGGAAUUACUGGGCGUAAAGCGCGCGUAGGCGGAUUGGAAAGUUGGGGGUGAAAUCCCGGGGCUCAACCCCGGAACUGCCUUCAAAACUCCCAGUCUAGAGUUCGAGAGAGGUGAGUGGAAUUCCGAGUGUAGAGGUGAAAUUCGUAGAUAUUCGGAAGAACACCAGUGGCGAAGGCGGCUCACUGGCUCGAUACUGACGCUGAGGUGCGAAAGUGUGGGGAGCAAACAGGAUUAGAUACCCUGGUAGUCCACACCGUAAACGAUGAAUGCCAGUCGUCGGAUAGUAUACUAUUCGGUGACACACCUAACGGAUUAAGCAUUCCGCCUGGGGAGUACGGUCG